UACGUAGGUGGCAAGCGUUAUCCGGAAUUAUUGGGCGUAAAGAGCGCGCAGGUGGUUGAUUAAGUCUGAUGUGAAAGCCCACGGCUUAACCGUGGAGGGUCAUUGGAAACUGGUCGACUUGAGUGCAGAAGAGGGAAGUGGAAUUCCAUGUGUAGCGGUGAAAUGCGUAGAGAUAUGGAGGAAUACCAGUGGCGAAGGCGGCUUCCUGGUCUGUAACUGACGUUGAGGCUCGAAAGCGUGGGGAGCAAACAGGAUUAGAUACCCG
rnacentral:rRNA from 1 species